GCAUGAUUGUUAAUGCUGACUAUUUACUAUUCAUGACAUUAUUUAUGCUGUGUGUGAAUUGGUUUUGAUGUACUUCAAUUGUUCACAGAUUUUUGUUAAUAUUUUGGUUUGAGUUAAUGUUUAUUGGUGUUGUGUUCAUUGUUAUUGAUGUUAUUGGUGUUUUGUUAACUUGAGUAGAUACAUUUUUUAUUAUGUAUUGUACAGUCAUACCCCUACAUACGAAGGCCUUACGUAUGAAAAAUCCAGGUUAUGAAGGCAAAGACAAAGAUUUUUUUGCUUCUGUGUACGAAAAUAAUUUAGGUUGCGAAAGGGUGUAUGUACUGUAAAGUCCAAGAUUCGCCCGGGCUGCCAAGAACAAUUUUAAAACUCGUGCACUGCCAACUCCGUAGACUCGCCACCAUCCUCCCGCUCUGCCAUUGGUGCUCUCCUAUUGUUCAGCAUCUGUCCCAUCAUGCCUCUAUGUAAAGGCAUUCCUUGACCAUUUCGUUGCAGCAGCAUUAUCAUAAACACCUGGAAUUCAUUCAUUCACAUAGAUUUUGUUUAAUAACAUGAAUUCGUGUUAGUAAUUUCGCUUUUGUUAUACUGUAAGUUACUUUAUCAUGUUGUGUGUGAACUUAAUUAGUUACAUUAUUAGCCAUGGGUCCCAAGAAUGUUGCUGAAGUUCACGGAAAGAAGAGGAUGCUUUCUAUGAAGACGAAGAUGGAGAUAAUCAAGAAGUGUUAAUGUUUUCUGCCAUUUGUUAAUGUGUUUCGUAAAGUUUAGUGUUAAUGUUUUCUGCCAUUUUUUAAUGUGUUUCGUAAAGUUAAGUGUUCAUGUUUUCUGCCAUUUGUCCUUCUCCUCUGUCGCCACUUUCGGACAUCACCUCACUCUAAAGGUAAGGUUCCACAUUUUACUACAUAUGUACGUACAGUAUUUCUUGUACCCUGUACAUUAAUACACUUUAUUUAUAGGUCAGGCACAGUUAGGUUAGGUAUUGAAUGGUCCAAAUUGUUGUAUUUCAUUGUUUAUUGGUCAAUUUAGCUUUAUUAUAAAAUUUACUGUGGUGUUUUUGUAGGGCUUGGAACGAAUUAGGCAAUUUAUAUGUAAAAUGUAGUUCUAGAUACGAAAAAAUCAGGUUAUGAAGGCCGCUUCGGAAUGGAUUAAUUUCAUAACCUGAGGCAUUACUGUAUAUUGAACAGACUGAUUUAUUAGUUAAUUCGUUAAUAUUGGUAAUGUAGUUAUUUCCCAGGCCUGAACUCAUUUGUAAAUAUGUAAGUUUCAUUAUGUAAUGAAUUAGUAUUAAGGUAACUUUCACGGUUUCUUUUGAACACCUUCCUCUUCGGUUUGCCUCUGUUUCUUCCAGUCAGUCCAGUCCCUUUCUUUUUUUUAUUUAAGAACUUGCUGAAGUAAGUCGGGUUUGUUAGCAUUGGCGACCUUGUGCCAGGAUUAGGCUCUGAUUUGGCUGGCAGGGUUCUGGCAGCUUCAGGUGGUGGUGGAGUAAAAAAAAUUUUUUUUUUUUUCCCUUGGUAAAGUGUAAGGUUUAGAGGUUAUUUUGUGGGAACAAUCGUUCUAUGGAUGUUACUUGUUUUGGGUGAGCACUCCCUACCGAGUGGUGUUUUUGUGUUUUGGGAGUUGUCGUCUGUCGCUUUCGCUGUGAUUGUGACAAUCAGGUUUGGGAUGGCAAUGAGUCUGGGUUAUAGCAGCAGUAGUUUAUGCUGCCUGUUUACUAUUUAUGACAUUAUUUAUGCUACGUGUGAAUUGGUUUUGAUGUACCUCAAGUGUUCAUAGAUUUUUGUUAAUAUUUUGAUUUGAGUUAAUGUUUAUUGCUGUUGUGUUCAUUGUUAUUGAUGUUAAUGGUGUUUUGUUAACAUGAGUAGAUGCAUUAUGUUGUUUUGCAUUUAUUGAACACUCUUAUUUAUUAGUUAAUAUAUUAUUGGUAAUGAUGUCAUUAUUUCCCAGACCUGAACUCAUUUGUAAAUUUGUAAAUUUCAUUAUGUAAUAGAUUAGUAUGUAUUAAGGUAACUUUCUCGGUUUCUUUCGAACACCUUCCUCUGUGGUUUGCUUGUUUCUUUUAGUCAUUCCAGUCCCUUCUUCUUUUUUUUUUUUUUAAGAACCUGCUGAAGUAAGUCAGGUUCAUUAUAGUAUGAAUGAUGGGUAUGUGUACAACAAUUCUUUGUUCCUACACGAUAUACAAACCGUCAGUCCUUUACAAUAGGAAUUACUUAAGGUUUAGCCUGGACAUGGCUGCUGAAUUCUUUAACAAGAUGGUUUGGUAGUUAACUAUCGGUCCGGUCGUUGGUAGUCUCUCCGACUGGAUGAAAACAUUCCAAUUUGCUUUUGGCCGUUGUCGUGGAAAGAUGCGUGUUCGCUGCUCUCUGCCCGACUUGUUAUGCUGUCUUCUUUCAUCUAUCCUGGUGGGAUUAUUCUUUUUUGUCUCUGUAUAAUUGUGAAUUGCUUGUGUUAUUAUGAAUAAUCAGGAAAUCCUGGAUUUACAGCCUUUGCUGCCCUCUACCUCCAGCCGGCAAUGCCCAGGGGUAGAUGGCAAGAAGUGCAGAAAAAUCUGUGCUUCUUUCAAGGUAGAUCCUCGCUCCCUAUGCGCUUCAUGCCGAGGGCAUGAGUUUAACAGAGAUAUCAUGUGUGCAGAGUGUCCCUUGUGGUCUGCUGCCCAGUGGGGGAAGCUUGCAGGGAGGAGGUAUGUGAGUAAACCCAAAACCGUGGUGGGAAGUAAUACACCCCCAACCACUCCAAAUAUUGCAAACCCAUCUUCCUCAUUCCUCUCUCCAGGCAACCGUCCUGCACUUUCUGCCAUCCCUUCGGGGGAGGCCUCUCUCUCUGCUUCCUCCUUCAGUGAAUUGGGGGGAAAUUGCGGCCUUUGAGCUGGGUAACGCUCUCUUAGUUUCUCUGCUCGCCCUGAAGGUCUUCCUUUAGAGUGAGGAGUUACUCUCCCUAACCUGACUUUUGCUUCUGCAGGUGAGGUGUCAGGACUAGGCUAGGCUUGUUCUUUCCUUGGAAUUGUGGGCGCCCCCUGACCAAAAACACUGCUUGCUCAUCCCAACCGUGCUUCCAGCAGUAAUGCUACCCACUCCAUAGUCACCACCACCACCAACACCAUGGCUACCGAGUCCCCACCUGGUUAUUACUCACCUCCAUACCUGGUGUGGGCACGUCACCCCACGAGUGUGACAUCUUCCUUGGUUGGAGGGCAACAUCUGCAGUCAUCCAACCUACCGAUGCCACCCCCCCCCCCCCCUCCUGGUUUCAGGAUGCCAUUGUUGAUAGUAUCGAGGUUCCCUGUCCUUCCCUUGUCACAUGGUUGAUAUACCAGCCAUACCUGCCAUUAUGUCAGCCGCAGAACACGAACCAGUGCCCUGCCCUGUUCCUGCGCCUGUAUCUGUUGCUAACCCUGCUGCAGCAAACCUACUUCUGCUGAUGUUCCUUGGUUAGCAUGGGUCAACGCUCCUGCAGAAGCUGUCGAAGAAGGAGAGAUUGAGGAAGGUGUCGUCGUCUUUGUCUUCAUCUUCGUCGUCGUCGUCUUCGUCUGCCCCCUCCACACCUCCCCCCCUUUGAAGGUUUCACAACCUCAGAAGGGGAAGGUAGCCUCUCCGCCCCCUAAGAAGUCUUGCCUUGAUCUUCUAAGGGUCUGUAUCCUCCCUCCGGGGAGGGGAGGCAGUUGGCUCUCUCAUUGGCUCACCCCACACCAGAAGAGGGAACCUUGACUCGCCUUCAGAGGCCAGGGUCUUGGGAGCCUCUGGAGCACGAACUAAGGUUCGCCUUCCAGUCCCUAAUUUCAAAGGUGCUGCCAGCGGGACUGGGGCUUUGUUGGAGACUUGCAACAGUGGCACGGGGCCAGAGAAGGGACCGAGCCAUGGCUCAGACCCACCUGCAAGGACCAAGCCUGGUUCUUCGUCAGGAGCCACAGUUGAUGCCUCUGUCCCUUGGGAUAGAGCAUCAGGAGAGGUCAAGAUGAGGUCCCCUAUACAGUCCUCUUCGCUUGGUGCUUCAGCCUCGAAGAAUACUGGGAUGCGUCAUGAGGACGAUGCUCGAUCUUGCCAGGCAGGGAGCCGCGUCACUGCUAGCAGCGCUGCUGCUGGCAAGGGUGUUGCUCCCACCAGUGCUGGUAGCAGCGCUGCUACCAACACUGGUAAACCCAUCCACUUGUGUCCAGAAAAUUACGAAUAUAAUUCGUAACUUUCCAUUUUUUGUUUGUAUUAACCGCAUAUUUUGACUCAAAGGGAGUAAGUAGUUGUUUGAUAGUUUUAAGUUGGUAUUCAAUUAGAUUGUUUUCAUUUUUAACCCUCUUCCAUUGGUUCCCUUAUUACCUUGUUAUACUAUACAAGCCGAUAUGGUUAUGUACUGAAAGACAGGAGUAGUCAUCACUCAGUCCGCAGUAUGGCAGCAACUCCUCCUCCUAUUCCUCUAAGCCUUCUGUGAAAUUACUAAUCUUCGUGUUCAAGUGUUUUUCGCAGAUGUGGUUCUUCGUCGAUAAUUAUACAGUGAGGAAUAUAAACAAUAUGUGGAUGUUGUAAAACCCUCACUGGACCACUGGAUAGCUUCUUCGAUUGGUUUGCCACGACCAUGUGCCACGUAGAGACGUAUGCAGUUCUGAAGUCCUCGUCCUCGAGUUAUGACCAAGGGCUUACUUUGAUGUAUUCAGCAUCGUUGUGUGUGAUUGAGCCCAAGUGGAGUCCUAGCUUGAUGUGUCGUAUAAUUGGCUCCUUUAUCUGCAACUUGCUCUUGUGGUGAACGUCGUCGUCACUUCCACUUAUAUGCCUCUCUGGAUAAUAACAGGACAGAGUGGUUACGAACUAAACAUAUUCACUGAAAAGGACUUUCUCGCUUCGUCUACGUUUUGGAUGAGGUCCUUUCGUCGACAGGAAUUCCAUUUAACUAUAAAGCGGUCUAACAUACGAAUGUACUAUUUGGCUUGCCACCUUCAGCGUGUUUGUUGUUAAUUGUAAGGUGUUAAUAAUUAUAUUAAUCUGUAUGUUAA